UUGUACUCACCCUUUUCUUUUAGGGCCUAGUGGUGCAUAGAGCUGAGAUCAGUAAUUGCCCACUGGGAACUAUAAAUUAUAGUUCUCACGCCCUCUUUUUCUCGAUGUUUUCAGAGCCUUCCACGCAGGGAGAGGCCAGGGAUCGCGGAAAGGGUAUCGCCUCGGGCUAGCGUGCUUACCGAGGGAUCGUUCGAUAGGUGGUCUACCUCUCGUGUUUUCUUUUUGUGAGAGGUUGAGAGUUGUACCCGUAUAUGUAUAGAGACCACCACUUUUGUACU
rnacentral:lncRNA from 1 species